GUGAUAUUUGUGAUACUAGUAUC
rnacentral:siRNA from 1 species